ACGAGUUCUCGUUGAUGAUCGGUGCUUGCACCGAGAUUCAACAUGGAACGAGUGGCGGACGGGUGAGUAACACGUGGGUAACCUGCCCUUAAGUGGGGGAUAACAUUUGGAAACAGAUGCUAAUACCGCAUAGAUCCAAGAACCGCAUGGUUCUUGGCUGAAAGAUGGCGUAAGCUAUCGCUUUUGGAUGGACCCGCGGCGUAUUAGCUAGUUGGUGAGGUAAUGGCUCACCAAGGCGAUGAUACGUAGCCGAACUGAGAGGUUGAUCGGCCACAUUGGGACUGAGACACGGCCCAAACUCCUACGGGAGGCAGCAGUAGGGAAUCUUCCACAAUGGACGCAAGUCUGAUGGAGCAACGCCGCGUGAGUGAAGGAGGCUUUCGGGUCGUAAAACUCUGUUGUCGGAGAAGAAUGGUCGGCAGAGUAACUGUUGUCGGCGUGACGGUAUCCAACCAGAAAGCCACGGCUAACUACGUGCCAGCAGCCGCGGUAAUACGUAGGUGGCAAGCGUUAUCCGGAUUUAUUGGGCGUAAAGCGAGCGCAGGCGGUUUUUUAAGUCUGAUGUGAAAGCCCUCGGCUUAACCGAGGAAGCGCAUCGGAAACUGGGAAACUUGAGUGCAGAAGAGGACAGUGGAACUCCAUGUGUAGCGGUGAAAUGCGUAGAUAUAUGGAAGAACACCAGUGGCGAAGGCGGCUGUCUGGUCUGUAACUGACGCUGAGGCUCGAAAGCAUGGGUAGCGAACAGGAUUAGA
rnacentral:rRNA from 1 species